UACGUAGGGUGCGAGCGUUAAUCGGAAUUACUGGGCGUAAAGCGUGCGCAGGCGGUUGUGCAAGACAGAUGUGAAAUCCCCGGGCUCAACCUGGGAACUGCAUUUGUGACUGCACGGCUGGAGUGCGGUAGAGGGGGAUGGAAUUCCGCGUGUAGCAGUGAAAUGCGUAGAUAUGCGGAGGAACACCGAUGGCGAAGGCAAUCCCCUGGACCUGUACUGACGCUCAUGCACGAAAGCGUGGGGAGCAAACAGG
rnacentral:rRNA from 1 species